rnacentral:rRNA from 1 species
AUGCACGCUGGCGGCGUGCCUAAUACCUGCAAGUCGCGCGCACGGACGAGAAGCUUGCUUCUCUGAUGUUAGCGGCGGACGGGUGAGUAACACGUGGAUAACCUACCUAUAAGACUGGGAUAACUUCGGGAAACCGGAGCUAAUACCGGAUGAUAUUUUGAACCGCAUGGUUCAAAAGUGAAAGACGGUCUUGCUGUCACUUAUAGAUGGAUCCGCGCUGCAUUAGCUAGUUGGUAAGGUAACGGCUUACCAAGGCAACGAUGCAUAGCCGACCUGAGAGGGUGAUCGGCCACACUGGAACUGAGACACGGUCCAGACUCCUACGGGAGGCAGCAGUAGGGAAUCUUCCGCAAUGGGCGAAAGCCUGACGGAGCAACGCCGCGUGAGUGAUGAAGGUCUUCGGAUCGUAAAACUCUGUUAUUAGGGAAGAACAUAUGUGUAAGUAACUGUGCACAUCUUGACGGUACCUAAUCAGAAAGCCACGGCUAACUACGUG